rnacentral:rRNA from 1 species
AGCGAACGCUGGCGGCAGGCCUAACACAUGCAAGUCGAGCGCCCCGCGAGGGGAGCGGCAGACGGGAGAGUAACACGUGGGAACGUACCCUUUGGUUCGGAACAACCCAGGGAAACUUGGGCUAAUACCGGAUAAGCCCUUACGGGGAAAGAUUCAUCGCCGAAGGAUCGGCCCGCGUCUGAUUAGCUAGUUGGUGGGGUAACGGCCCACCAAGGCGACGAUCAGUAGCUGGUCUGAGAGGAUGAUCAGCCUCACUGGGACUGAGACACGGCCCAGACUCCUACGGGAGGCAGCAGUGGGGAAUAUUGGACAAUGGGCGCAAGCCUGAUCCAGCCAUGCCGCGUGGGUGAUGAAGGCCCUAGGGAUGUAAAGCCCUUUCGGCGGGGAAGAUAAUGACGGUACCCGCAGAAGAAGCCCCGGCUAACUUCGUGCCAGCCGCCGCAGUAA